CAGUAGCCGCGGUAAAACGAAGGGUGCAAGCGUUAAUCGGAAUUACUGGGCGUAAAGCGUGCGUAGGCGGUUUGUUAAGUCUGUUGUGAAAUCCCCGGGCUCAACCUGGGAAUGGCAGUGGAUACUGGCUCGCUAGAGUGUGUCAGAGGAUGGUGGAAUUCCCGGUGUAGCGGUGAAAUGCGUAGAGAUCGGGAGGAACAUCAGUGGCGAAGGCGGCCAUCUGGGACAACACUGACGCUGAGGCACGAAAGCGUGGGGAGCAAACAGGAUUAGAUACCCGCGUAGUCCCUGUCUCUUAUAC
rnacentral:rRNA from 1 species